AGCACGGUAUGAAGUUCCUACA
rnacentral:miRNA from 15 species